rnacentral:rRNA from 1 species
AUUGAACGCUGGCGGCAGGCUUAACACAUGCAAGUCGAGCGAGUGGCGGACGGGUGAGUAAUGCUUGGGGAUCUGGCUGAUGGAGGGGGAUAACUACGGGAAACUGUAGCUAAUACCGCAUACCAUAGGAUGAGCCCAAGUGGGAUUAGGUAGUGGGUGAGGUAAAGGCUCACCAAGGCGACGAUCCCUAGCUGGGCUGAGAGGAUGACCAGCCACACUGGGACUGAGACACGGCCCAGACUCCUACGGGAGGCAGCAGUGGGGAAUAUUGCGCAAUGGGCGCAAGCUGAUGCAGCCAUGCCGCGUGAAUGAAGAAGGCCUUCGGGUUGUAAAGUUCUUUCGGUCGCGAGGCGUUAACUACAGAAGAAGCACCGGCUAACUCCGUGCCAGCAGCCGCGGUAAUAC